rnacentral:rRNA from 1 species
UACAGAGGGGGCAAGCGUUGUUCGGAAUUACUGGGCGUAAAGGGCGCGUAGGCGGCCUGUUAAGUCAGACGUGAAAUCCCUCGGCUCAACCGGGGAACUGCGUCUGAUACUGGCGGGCUUGAAUUCGGGAGAGGGAUGUGGAAUUCCAGGUGUAGCGGUGAAAUGCGUAGAUAUCUGGAGGAACACCGGUGGCGAAGGCGGCAUCCUGGACCGACAUUGACGCUGAGGCGCGAAAGCCAGGGGAGCAAACGGGG